rnacentral:rRNA from 1 species
GAUGAACGCUGGCGGCGUGCCUAAUACAUGCAAGUCGAGCGAACGGACGAGAAGCUUGCUUCUCUGAUGUUAGCGGCGGACGGGUGAGUAACACGUGGAUAACCUACCUAUAAGACUGGGAUAACUUCGGGAAACCGGAGCUAAUACCGGAUAAUAUUUUGAACCGCAUGGUUCAAAAGUGAAAGACGGUCUUGCUGUCACUUAUAGAUGGAUCCGCGCUGCAUUAGCUAGUUGGUAAGGUAACGGCUUACCAAGGCAACGAUGCAUAACCGACCUGAGAGGGUGAUCGGCCACCCUGGAACUGAGCCACGGUCCAGACGCCUACGGGAGGCAGCAGUAGGGAAUCUUACGCAAUGGGCGAAAGCCUGGCGGAGCAACGCCGCGUGAGUGAUGAAGGUCUUCGGAUCGUAAAACUCUGUUAUUAGGGAAGAACAUAUGUGUAAGUAACUGUGCACAUCUUGACGGUACCUAAUCAGAAAGCCACGGCUAACUACGUG